AUUGAACGCUGGCGGCAUGCUUUACACAUGCAAGUCGAACGGCAGCACGGACUUCGGUCUGGUGGCGAGUGGCGAACGGGUGAGUAAUACAUCGGAACGUACCCAGUAAUGGGGGAUAACUAUCCGAAAGGAUAGCUAAUACCGCAUACGCCCUACGGGGGAAAGAGGGGGAUCGCAAGACCUCUUGUUAUUGGAGCGGCCGAUGGCUGAUUAGCUAGUUGGUAGGGUAAAGGCCUACCAAGGAAACGAUCAGUAGCGGGUCCUAGAGGACGAUCGGCCACACUGGAACUGAGACACGGUCCCGACUCCUACGGGAGUCAGCAGUGGGGAAUCUUGGACAAUGGGCGCAAGCCUGAUCCAGCAAUGCCGCGUGCGUGAAGAAGGCCUUCGGGUUGUAAAGCGCUUUUGUCAGGGAGCAAAUCCUUGUGGCUAAUACCCACCGGGGAUGAGAGUACCUGAAGAAUAAGGACCGGCUAACUACGUGCCAGCCGCCGCCGUAA
rnacentral:rRNA from 1 species